AGAGUUUGAUCCUGGCUCAGGAUGAACGCUAGCGGGAGGCUUAAUACAUGCAAGUCGAACGGUAACAUGAGAGCUUGCUCUUGAUGACGAGUGGCGCACGGGUGAGUAACGCGUACGCGACCUGCCCUUAAUUGGGGAAUAGCCCUGGGAAACUGGGAUUAAUGCCCCAUAGUGUAUGUAUCGUAGGGAUAUAUAUUAAAGGAUACGAUCUGAUUAAGGAUGGGCGUGCGUGCUAUUAGCUAGUUGGUAAGGUAACGGCUUACCAAGGCGAUGAUAGCUAGGGGGCGUGAGAGCGUGAUCCCCCACACGGGUACUGAGACACGGACCCGACUCCUACGGGAGGCAGCAGUAAGGAAUAUUGGACAAUGUCCGCAAGGGUGAUCCAGCCAUCCCGCGUGCAGGAAGACGGCCCUAUGGGUUGUAAACUGCUUUUAUUAGGGAAGAACGACCUUCAUUAAUGAGGGUGUGACGGUACCUAAAGAAUAAGCACCGGCUAACUCCGUGCCAGCAGCCGCGGUAAUACGGAGGGUGCGAGCGUUAUCCGGAAUCACUGGGUUUAAAGGGUGCGUAGGCGGAAUAGUAAGUCAGGCGUGAAAGGUUACAGCUUAACUGUAGAACUGCGUUUGAUACUGUUAUUCUUGAAUAGAGAUGAGGUCAGCGGAAUGCGACAUGUAGCGGUGAAAUGCAUAGAUAUGUC
rnacentral:rRNA from 1 species